rnacentral:rRNA from 1 species
GACGAACGCUGGCGGCGUGCUUAACACAUGCAAGUCGAACGGAAAGGCCCUGCUUUUGUGGGGUGCUCGAGUGGCGAACGGGUGAGUAACACGUGAGUAACCUGCCCUUGACUUUGGGAUAACUUCAGGAAACUGGGGCUAAUACCGGAUAGGAGCUCCUGCUGCAUGGUGGGGGUUGGAAAGUUUCGGCGGUUGGGGCUGGACUCGCGGGUUAUCAGCUUGUUGGUGGGGUAGUGGCUUACCAAGGCUUUGACGGGUAGCCGGCCUGAGAGGGUGACCGGCCACAUUGGGACUGCGGUACGGCCCAGACUCCUACGGGAGGCAGCAGGGGGGAAUAUUGCACAAUGGGCGGAAGCCUGAUGCAGCAACGCCGCGUGCGGGAUGACGGCCUUCGGGUUGUAAACCGCUUUCGCCUGUGACGAAGCGUGAGUGACGGUAAUGGGUAAAGAAGCACCGGCUAACUACGUG